rnacentral:lncRNA from 1 species
AAAUGAGUUAUAAAUCAAACUGGGGCUGGGGAUAUAGGUCAAUUGGGAGAGUGCUUGUCUUGCAUGAAGAAGGCCCUGGGUUCAAACCCCAGCACCACCAAAAAAAAAAAAAAAUCAGAAUCAAACUGAUGUGAAUUUAAAGAAAUUAGAUCCAUAAUUAAUCAUCCACUGGAGAAAACUCUGAGGAUAAAUAAAUGUCUUCGGGGUUUUUUUAUUUUACUUUUUUUUAAGAUGGGUCUCCCUAUGUUAUCCAGGCUGGCUUCAAGCCCAUGGGCUUAAGUGAUCCUCCUGCUUUAUCCUCCACGGUAGAUGGGACCACAGGCACACUACCACGCCCAUUCUACUAAUUCUACUAAUCAUAUGAAGAAGAAAUAAUGCUUACUUUAUGAAAUCCCUUUUAAAGAAACUAAAAAUGGAAAUGCUUACCAAUUUCUUUGCUAUUCAGUUUUCCUCACCAAGAUUAGAAAACCUAACCAAAGGGUUGGGGUUAGAUUUUUCAUUCUUUGAUGAUCUCCCUUGCUCAUGAACUUUUCAUCCUGUCUCCAUCCCUUAUCCUUCAAUCUUUCAUCACAGAUGUGUUGACCUUCUUCUACUUCCAUAUGCAUAAUCUUCCUGACUACAUGGUGUCUGUCAAUACAUGACUAUUUGUGUGCUAAUUUGUACAAGAGAUUUCCUGUUGAGUCUCUGGAAGAUUUUUUUUUUUUUUAAUCUACUGAAUAAACUUCUGCCUACAUUUAAAUAAACAGUAGAGUCUUGCCUUUGAAGUUAAAUUCUUGCCUCUUGGCAUUUUCCAUUCUUCUGGGACCAGGACCCUCGUGGAUGACAGGCACGUCCCUGGGCAUGAGACUGCAACAGGAGCCAGUCUGUAUGCUGAUGUUUGGUAGUAGGAGAACCCCUGUUACUGCUUGGCUAACUGAAGUUUCUGUUCCUGUUGAAGUGGCUGCUUAAUUUAAAAAGCGACACCUUCCUCUCCGUUGUCUUCCAAAGAAAGAUUGUGCUUGGCAAUUAGGUAAAGCCUUGAGUGAUGAUAGCUGGUUGUGAGUCAAGAAGGGUUCUCAAGAUCAUUAAAUAAGCCUUGACAGUGGUAUACAGUGUGUGAUCCAUCCAGGGGCUUGACAGUCUGGAAUUUUUCUGGCAUUAAAUUGGUUUUAUAUAUUUUUUAUUUUUACAUUAUUCGCUAACAUUUCCUGAAAUUACCAUGGAAAUAUUUCAAUAUUUUAACCAUGAAGUUGUGCUCCAUUUGUGUACAAUGUGUCAAAAUGCAUUCUACUGUCAUGUAUAAC